rnacentral:lncRNA from 13 species
AAUUAUCUUGCCUUUUAAAACAUUUAUGCCUGGGCUCUGCCCUCUGGGUGCAGAAUUCUCGAGGUGCUCUUGUAUCCGGUCUUUCCUCGAUCUCAGCAUCUCAGUAGUCAGAUGCAAUCUUGGGCAGCACGGUGAAUAAAUGACUCUGCAAGUGGGGCUUUGAACCUGUCUGCAGGGCAGCAGGACUCGAGAGAAUGAGCACACAGUGCUGUUGUGAUAUGACUGUCUCCUAGAAGGAAAGCCUCCAAGUGCUGACUGUUCUUUAGCUGCAAGGGUAUAAAGUGUUGAUGAUGAAGUGUUUUGUGCUGUGACUGCUGUCAUGCCCUGUAGUCACGAACAGAGACCUUCACAGGUGUGAAGAGAGACCUGACAAAAGGUCCUGCUUGUUUUCACCAGGUGAUCAGACACUCCAAGGAACCUGGUUAAUCUUGUAGGGGUCAAACUUCAAGGGCGGAGGAUUAAUUGCUUUCUCUUACCUGGUAGGAUCAGAUGAUAAAACCAAAUUGCAGUGGAGAUGGAUGGAAGACGUGGGAAUGGCUCAACAUCAUGAUGGAGAGUUGCAUGUUGGUCACAUGGAGGCAAAUGGAUUUUUAAUAAGGAAAAAUAAUUACCAGUGAGUGAAGUAUCUGACUUUCCUGAAGAGUUAAGCCACCUGAGACCAGAAUGAGCAACAGCUGGCAAACAUUUUAAUCAAGGGAAGACAGCCACUCUGCCCUCCAAAGAAGGAACUCUUUAAUCAAGCCCUAUUGCCUUGUUUAUCAGGGGAAAUAAGAAACGAUUUGGCCACUGAGAGUAACUGCAGCAGCUUCGGAGAAGGCCAGCCAUGUGUGAAGAGACUGGCGCACCUGAGAAGCGAGGCAGAAGCCUGGGAACGUUUUAGGACCAGAUGCCACCCAAACCAUAGGACACCGUGCGAAGUGCAUUUUCCAGACCUUUCAUUGUUGUUGGGGAACUUCAGAACGUCAGCGUGCAUAAAAGUGUGGAUUUGACUGGAGAAGAAUUGUUCCUCUGUGAUCCUUGCCCACCCAGCACCCAGCUCUUCUUUCCUUGGAACAGCGCUGCCACGUCUCUUUCUCAAACCUUCCUCACUCGCUGAGGAGCAUCUUGGUGAGACUGUUAACCUGGUAUGGCAUAUGACUCAAACAUGGACAAUUGCACCUAUUUCCUUGGGACUUUCAGUCUUGAGGGGAGAAUGCUAGAUUGCAAAACAUCAUACUAAAAAAAAAAACUAAAAAAUUGUAGAGAAUGCAGAAAAGAAUGGAUGCAGAGGGUUCUGUUAUUGGAAUGAACUCUGACAGAGUGUCAACUAUUUUCUACCACCCAACACGCUGCAUAGUUCCCAUGCUAAAUUUAACCUGCUCAGCUGAUCCUUUAGUUAACGUUAAGUAGAAGAAGAACUUGUUGGAAGGAUAGUGAGUUGCCCAGAGCCCGUUUUCUUUGUUUGUAAUCAGACAACCUUGACGGAUACCGCCCUUAAAGAAGCACAGUUGUAGUGGCUGGAAGUGUAGGGUGUGCUUUACUAUUUAACAACGAAAGCUGAAACCUUGCAGGCUCUGCGCCUAAGAUCCCAUUGAGUCAGAGAAAAGUUCUGCAGCAAACCUCCUGAGAUAACUCCCCGGAACAGGAAGAUAACUUCGAAGCUUAGUUUAUUUCCAUACAAAUUGAAUUUUAAGUUCUUAUCAGGGUAACAGAAACAAAAAAUCAUGUCAUACAGACACAUUUGGGGUAGCCUGGUUAAUUCCUUCUUCUUUUGAAACAGCUACAUUAUCAAGAUGAUGCUUCACUGCCUGUUAGACUCGCUUCUGCUUGGAAGCAGAUGAAUCGAUUUUGAACUUCUUCUGUGAUAUGCUUAGUGCUUUGUCAGUAAAAUUACUGUAAUAUCUUAUACCAUCUGUCAUAUUCCCUUCCCCCAACAGGAGCCAUCUCCAGCCACUAAGUUCUCAGGCUGAAUUUCAAUCUUCAGCGUGAUCACUAUGCAAGCCUGCAUUCUGUGGUGCUCUGCUGGCCCCGGCUGGGGACAGGGGCGAGAAGUGGGUAGUGGCCCGGUUUUUAAUUUUCACACUCAGAGAAGAACCAUGAGCCUGAAUGGUUCCUGGGCUGGAGCAUUGAUGAACUGAGGUGGUUCUUUGCAAAUAUCCCUGUCCUUAGAGGCCUAAUAAAAUGUAAGGGGGUAUCA